AACACAUGGUCACCUGAAACUGGACUCCAACAUGAUUUGCUCGAGUCUGCCAUCUCAGCCGUACCCGUUCCUUGCGAGCAGCUGGACAGCCCGCAACACAGAUCACUUCAAUCAGCAACACCCAGGAUGCGAACUCAGCCAUGGUCUUCAUACCCUGCACCAGCCAGCACCAGUUGACAGUGAGUUAUGCUGAGCAGCCACUACUGUGGAUAGAUAAGUGAGCUGUCCAGCUACCCCAGCAAGCUCUCAAACAGUCUCGCUGUGAAGAAGACAGACCCAGGUCUCUGGGUGGGAGGCUGCCAACUUUUUGGAAAAGGCCUUUCUUUGCUGCAACUACUGUGUGGGCCUCCGCAAAGGCGAGGAUGACGGGAACAGCAAGCUUUCAUGGGAGACAUCACCAACAGUAACAGUUUUAAACAUUC
ensembl:lincRNA Gm44442 predicted gene, 44442